AGCAGCCGCGGUAAUUCCAGCUCCAAUAGCGUAUAUUAAAGUUGUUGCAGUUAAAAAGCUCGUAGUUGAAUUUCGGGAUCAAUACGUCGGUCGUGUCUCUGGUACGUACUGGCGUUGUUGAUUUCUCCCUUCUGAUGAACCACGAUGUCAUUAAUUUGGUGUUGUGGGAAGUCAGGACUGUUACUUUGAAAAAAUUAGAGUGUUUAAAGCAGGCAAACGCCUGAAUACAUUAGCAUGGAAUAAUGAAAUAGGACGUUCGAACCUAUUUUGUUGGUUUCUAGGAUCAACGUAAUGAUUAAUAGGGAUAGUUGGGGGCAUUAGUAUUCAAUUGUCAGAGGUGAAAUUCUUGGAUCUAUUGAAGACUGACUACUGCGAAAGCAUUUGCCAAGGAUGUUUUCAUUAAUCAAGAACGAAGUUAGGGAUCGAAGACGAUCAGAUACCGUCGUAGUCUUAACCAUAAACUAUGACCGACUAGGGAUCGGAUGAAGUUUAAUUUUUUAANGUUACUCAUUCGGCGCCU
rnacentral:rRNA from 1 species